rnacentral:tRNA from 1 species
GGUCCCGUGGUGUAGCGGUUAACAUGCCUGCCUGUCACGCAGGAGAUCGCGGGUUCGAGUCCCGUCGGGACCG